GAACGAACGAACGAGGCCGGGCCCGGCGCUUACCUCAGGCCGGGGUCCCGCUACCCAGCUCCGGUUCUCGGCGGCGGCGACCGCUCCGGCUGGGCGGGCGGGUGGCACACGCUGCCGCCCUGCGAGAGCUCUGCCGCACUGCUUUGCAUCCGAUUCAAAAGGCCUAAUAAAAACUAACAAGAUAAAGAAGUUCUUGGAGGACUCUUUUACUGUCCUUAUCAGCAAUGAAUUAUAAAAGGGGAGAUAGAAAGGUGUGGUUUGUACCUGGAGGAGAAAGUGGCCGUGGCCGUGGAGGUGUUUAGAUUCAGCGGCAGUUUUUCAUGCAGCUCAGGAACGCUCUGCAGGUUUGCUCCGUUACGGGGGUCACCUCCCUCCUACCCCAGAUGCCUGCAAGCCGUCCCUGAGCGUUGCAAACUCUUUGGUGGGUGUCCCGUCCAAAGGCUGUUCAGUGACUGAAAAGUGCCGUUGUCCCUGGAAGGAAGGGGGCUUCGCACGGCGCCUGGGGGUGCGAUGUGCUCGGGCGCUGUACCACGCUGCGGUGCUGCUGUUUGAUCCGGGGUCAGUGAUUUCCUGCCCGUUGCAGAGCCCAGGAGCCGUCCUCGAGCUGCUGCACCCAAGACAUGCUGCUGCGUAUCAGCGCUAAAUAUCAUGCUGCCACUCUGCUCUCCAGGGUUUCCCCCGGCGGCCUCAAGCUCUCACAGGUUUUGGUGUAAUUUCUGCCGUUUCUGGGUUUCCCCUGCAAGCUGUGCCCGAGAGGUCUGGGGUUUGAAAGGCGUGCAGUGAUUUUUCAGGGAGGACUUUUGGCGCGAUCUUACCGCAUCGCACUUUUUCUGCAAGUGGGCGGUUAACACGUUCUGAAAAAGGACGAGCCAGACCAGAGGCCCUACAAGUUGUGAGUCCCCUUUUGAACCGCUCUCGACGUGUCUUAGUUCUGUUGGCUUUUCGCAUCUGCUUGGCGAGUGGCUUUUUCUGCCUUGGGUUCAGGUGGUGUGGCUGGCCCAUCGCAUGCGUGUUUGGUCUGGUUAGCAGUAUUUUUUUCCAUGAAUUUCUAAUGAACCUGACUGACAGAUUGGUAGUGGUUUAUUUAAGGCUUGUUUUUCCCAAGGCUCUUCCUUCUCCUUUUCCAUCCUCCCCAUCCAAACCAACCUUGCCCGAUAACCAGCUGCCAGCUCUAUUUCCCUUGUGUUCCUUUUCGCUUUCCAGUUUACCCAAGCUAAUAGUCAUUAAAGUGAUAUUUCACAAGGA